rnacentral:rRNA from 1 species
AGUGAACGCUGGCGGCGUGCUUAACACAUGCAAGUCGAACGAGAAAGGGGUAUAGCUUGCUAUAAUUGUCAGCUAAGUGGCGCACGGGUGAGUAAUGUAUAGGUAAUAUGCCUCUUACUAAGGGAUAACAAAUGGAAACGUUUGCUAAUACCUUAUACUCCUUAUUAACAUAAGUUAAUAAGGGAAAGAUUUAUUGGUAAGAGAUUAGCCUGUAUUGUAUCAGUUAGUUGGUGGGGUAAUGGCUUACCAAGACUAUGACACAUAACUGGUUUAAGAGGAUGAUCAGUCACACUGGAACUGAGACACGGUCCAGACUCCUACGGGAGGCAGCAGUGGGGAAUAUUGCACAAUGGACGAAAGUCUGAUGCAGCAACGCCGCGUGGAGGAUGACACAUUUCGGUGCGUAAACUCCUUUUAUAUGAGAAGAUAAUGACGGUAUUAUAUGAAUAAGCACCGGCUAACUCCGUGCCAGCCGCCGCCGUAAAAC